UACGUAGGGUGCAAGCGUUGUCCGGAAUUAUUGGGCGUAAAGGGCUCGUAGGCGGCCAACUAAGUCAGACGUGAAAUCUCUCAGCUUAACUGGGGAACUGCGUCUGAUACUGGAUGGCUUGGAUUCGGGAGAGGAAUGCGGAAUUCCAGGUGUAGCGGUGAAAUGCGUAGAUAUCUGGAGGAACACCGGUGGCGAAGGCGGCAUUCUGGACCGAUAUUGACGCUGAGGAGCGAAAGCCAGGGGAGCAAACGGG
rnacentral:rRNA from 1 species